UACGGUUGUCCUAGAAACCAACAAAAUAAAACAACUUCGUCCUAUUCUAUUAUUCCAUGCUAAUGUAUUCCGGCAUAAGCCUGCUUUAAACACUCUAAUUUUUUCAAGGUAAAGGUCCUGACUACCCGCAACAUCCAAUAAAGGACAUUACGUAUCACCAGGCGGAUAGACCCAACACAACCAGUACUCAUCUAAAAGAUGGACCA
rnacentral:misc_RNA from 1 species